CGUCUCCUGCGGUGUUCGAUGUUUUGCUCAGUGUCCCUUGAGCCUAUUUUGUACCCUACGGGAGCCGUACUUGGUUGGGAGUGCAAGCCCACGCUUUAUUGCAGUGGGAAGCCCGAUAGCCAAAGCAGGCACCCACUUGAGACCCACGUCUCAAGGUCAAGAGCACGAUGACGGCACAGGCGGGAGACAC
rnacentral:other from 1 species